CACGCAGCAAAGGGCCGCAGAUUGGAUUUGAACCCGGGCUGCUGCAAAGGCUUCAGCCUACAUGGAGCGCAUGCUCUUACUCGGAAUUGAUUGUAAAUAAAAGGAUACUGUCUGAUGACUGCAAGUCGAAAGAGAAAUGCAACAUGAUUGGUCCAUGGGAGGUUUCGGCCACGGCCCGCCUGGCAGAGAUUUCACAAAUGCCUGAAAUUCACCAAAAACGGAGAAGAAGAGGCAAAGAAGAGCAGGAACACAAGCAUGUAGCCCGCCAUUGUUGUUAUGAGACGACGUCGCGGGAUAAGAGGUCGAAGGCUAGAGGUCGAGGGUUGUGGCGAUGACA